rnacentral:rRNA from 1 species
UUAAGCCCCAGUAAACGGCGGCCGUAACUAUAACGGUCCUAAGGUAGCGAAAUUCCUUGUCGGGUAAGUUCCGACCCGCACGAAAGGCGUAACGAUUUGGGCACUGUCUCAACAACAGACUCGGUGAAAUUGUAAUUCCGGUGAAGAUGCCGGAUACCUGCGACAGGACGGAAAGACCCCAUGGAGCUUUACUGUAGCUUGACAUUGGGUCUUGGUACUACAUGUACAGGAUAGGUGGGAGGCUUUGAAACCAGGACGCCAGUUUUGGCGGAGCCAUCCUUGGGAUACCACCCUUGUAGUACUGGGACUCUAACCAUAGGCCAUGAAUCUGGUCUUGGGACACUGUCAGGUGGGCAGUUUGACUGGGGCGGUCGCCUCCCAAAAGGUAACGGAGGCGCUCAAAGGUUCUCUCAGUACGGUCGGAAAUCGUACGUAGAGUGUAAAGGCAAAAGAGAGCUUGAUUGCAAGACAUACAGGUCGAGCAAGGAUGAAAAUCGGACUUAGUGAUCCGGUGGUUCUGCGUGGAAGGGCCAUCGCUCAACGGAUAAAAGCUACCCUGGGGAUAACAGGCUUAUCUCCCCC